GCGGACAGCUUUGUCUGUAAUGAUGGUGCGAAAGCUAUAAACCCCUAGCAUGGCCUGAGUCCAAUGACUCUAAUCUAUUAGCAAUGAGAACACAAAUAAUAAAGCAAAGGGGUCCUCCAAAAAGUCAUCAUGAUAGGUGAAUCCAGGGUCCCAACUUUAACAUACCCCAUCACACAACAACACUUGCCCCUUCAUGAAAUGGCUUUUGUAGUAGUCAGG
rnacentral:lncRNA from 1 species